AAUUUAAAUGGCUGCAGUAUUUUGACUGUACAAAGGUAGCAUAAUCAUUUGUCUUUUAAUUGAAGGCUAGUAUGAAUGGUUGGACGAAAAAUAUACUUUCUUUAUUUUAUAUAAAUAAAUUAAUUUUUUAGUUAAAAAGCUAAGAUUUUUUUAUAGGACGAGAAGACCCUAUAGAACUUUAUUUUCUACAUAUAUAUAUUUUAUAGAUUUUUAAAAUAUUAUAUAUUAAUAGUUAAUUUAAUUGGGGUGAUUGAAAAAAUUAUAUAACUUUUUCUAUUUCUAUCAUUUAUUUAUGAUGUUUUUGAUCCUUUAAUAUGGAAAAUAAGAUUAAGUUACCUUAGGGAUAACAGCGUUAUUUUUUUGGAGAGUUCUUAUCGAUAAAAAAGUUUGCGACCUC
rnacentral:rRNA from 1 species